CGCUGAACUUAAGCAUAUCAAUAAGCGGAGGAAAAGAAACCAACAGGGAUUGCCUUAGUAACGGCGAGUGAAGCGGCAACAGCUCAAAUUUGAAAUCUGGUUCCUUUCAGGGGCCCGAGUUGUAAUUUGUAGAGGAUGUCUUCGGGUCUGGCCCCGGCCUAAGUUCCUUGGAACAGGACGUCACAGAGGGUGAGAAUCCCGUAUGUGGCUGGAGGUCUAUUCCCAUGUGAAGCUCCUUCGACGAGUCGAGUUGUUUGGGAAUGCAGCUCAAAAUGGGUGGUAAGUUUCAUCUAAAGCUAAAUACUGGCGGGAGACCGAUAGCGCACAAGUAGAGUGAUCGAAAGAUGAAAAGCACUUUGGAAAGAGAGUUAAAAAGUACGUGAAAUUGUUGAAAGGGAAGCGCUUGCGACCAGACUUGCCCUCAGUUGAUCAACCGGGGAUAAACUCCGGUGCACUCUGCUGAGGUCAGGCCAGCAUCGGUUUAGGCGGUUGGAGAAAGGCCUUGGGAAUGUGGCUCCUUCUGGGGAGUGUUAUAGCCCAUGGUGCCAUGCGACCAGCCUGGACCGAGGACCGCGCCUUAGUGCUAGGAUGCUGGCGUAAUGGUCGUAAGCGACCCGUCUUGAAACACGGACC
rnacentral:rRNA from 1 species